UGGGAUUACAGGCGUGAGCCACUGCACCCAACCCCGAUAACUUUUUCUGUGUAAGGGCGUAGGUACUUUAAAUGCAAAGUGAGAAAUGCAGUAUUACCAGGGCAGAAAAACAUGCUCUGUGAACUUAUGUGAAUUCAUUAUUCCUUACUUACAAUGAUUGUUCACAUCCCUGUAGUAAAGAAACUUCUCUACUUACAACUUCCCAUAGGUAGCAAUAAAGGUCCCAGGCACAGCAGAAGCAUGGCAAUGAAGAAUACCACCAACAGAGGACAUCAGAACUUACUUUAGGCCACCAUUAGGUUUUCUUAGCCUGUGUUGUGUUUUGUGUGCAUAUUUUCAUAAUGUUUUAUAAAUAUUAUUAUUAACACCGCUAUGUUCAAAAGUACAAAAGAGUCAAAAAAGUGUUCCUUUAAGAAAAGACAUGCGAUUACUACGGCAACAAAAGAGAACUUAUUGUAGAAGGGUGUACAUUGUAUAUAUUGGUCACUUUUGUAUGUCAUUUUGGACUUAAAAGGAAAUGAAUUUCCAAACAGCCCUUGAGAACCAAUUCUCUUUGUAGAGAAAGGAGGUUGUAUGUUGUCUAUAAAUUAUAGGAUCAUAGACUCUUUUUGUUUGUUUUUUGAGUUAGAGUCUCACUGUCACCCAGGUAAAAGAGUAAUUCUCUGUAAAACAUCUUUGUGCAAGUACUGUUGAUUGUCCCCAUAUAUUUUCCAUUUUUUCUUGUGGCAAUAGAACUCAUAAUUUUCAGUUGGGUAUGUAGAUGCCUGAAGGAAAGAAUAUAUUUCUUAGCCUCACAUAGAUGUAAAUAUAAUCAUGGGACAAAGUUCUGGUGAAGGAACUAUCAGGGGAUACAUUUCAUGACAGUUUCUGAAAGAUUUUCUCACAACACUGCUGGCACACGCCCUCUCUGUGCCUCCUUCCUUCUUCCAUGUUGCUGGGGGCUGGAACUCAGAUGUGUUGGCUGGAGCUGAAGCAGACAUAUUGGACCAUGUGGUGACAACGAGAAUUGAGGCCACCAUGGCAGGACAAGGUAAAGGAGGACUUCGGACUUAGUGAAGCAGAAUAGCGGAAGGAGGCCUGAUCUACCUAGUUCUGGGCUUGUACAUGAGAGAGACCUACAUUUCUCUAUUGUUUAAGCUAUUGUUACAGUUUGUCCUAUUAGCAGAUGAAUCAGAUUAAAAAAUGAUGGAAAUUUGUGAAGCAGCCCAUGCCACUUAAUAACAACUCUAACGUUUACAUUUUCCUUACUCAGAGUAAGCUCCACUGUAACACUUGCCCAUAGUUCUCUUCUACAAUCUUACUUAAUUAAGUGUGCUGUGUCCUUUACCCACCCUCCCCAGAUGCAUGAAGAAGCUGUCCUGUAUUUUCAUGUUAUCUUCUUACUGAACAUUCUAGAUUCUUUCAAAUAUUUGUCAUAUAACCAUCGCUAUACCUUUCACAAUCUUGGUUGCCCUGCUGUCAAUGUAUUAUGAUUUUUCAGUGUUCUCAUCAUACGUGAUGCUCAUAAGUCAAUAUGACUGCAGAUGUGGUUUAACUAGUGAAGAGAUUAAUGGAACAUUUGUGAAUUUCAUUAAUGCAAUCUAAUACUGUAUUGCCUCGUACAGUAAGCCACACCAGAUCAUACUGGAGAUUAAUACAGUCCUUGUGGUUAUUUAAAAUCCCAAUUUGUUUUUCAUAUAAAGCGCCACAAAGUCAGAUGUUCCUCAGCCUAUAUUUGUACAAAAGACUUUAAAAAUCUUAAAGGCAGGACAUCUUGCUUGUUCUUGUUAAAUUUUAUUUUAAUUUUUUUAUUUUGGUACAGUAUCCCAGUCUGUUAUAAUCUUAUUUUGAGUCUUGAUUUUGAUCUUUCAGUGUGUUGACUCCCAUUCUCACCUUUGUGUCAUUUGAAAAAUUAAUAAGUGCACAAUGUAUAUGCUUAUCUAGAAAAAUGACAAAAAUCUGGGUCAAAGUACAGGCAAGGAGGCACCACUUUUAGGGGGCACUAUUUAUGGAGGGUUGUGAAAUGAAGUAGAACUGAAUUCACUCUGUGGUUAGCACCACAAAACACUUCUCAAAUUGACAGUUUAACACAACAUUCCUCCUUGGGCAU
ensembl:lncRNA novel transcript, antisense to DMD